rnacentral:rRNA from 1 species
UAUCAGUCAUGCAUAGCAUAUCAAUAAGCGGAGGAAAAGAAACUAACAAGGAUUCCCUUAGUAACGGCGAGUGAAGCGGGAAGAGCUCAAAUUUGAAAUCUUCAAGGUUUUACCUUGACGAAUUGUAGUUUAAAGAAGUGUUUUCUGUUGAAGUUUUGGUAAAAGUUCUUUGGAAUAGGACAUCAUAGAGGGUGAGAAUCCCGUAUUUGACCAUUACUUUCAGCUUUGUGAUACACUUUCAAAGAGUCGGAUUGUUUGGGAAUGCAGUCCAAAAUGGGUGGUAAAUUUCAUCUAAAAGCUAAGUAUUGGCGAGAGACCGAUAGCGAACAAGUACCGUGAGGGAAAGAUGAAAAGAACUUUGAAAAGAGAGUUGAAACAGUACGUGAAAUUGUCAAAAGGGAAGCGUUUGACACCAGUGUUGUUUUCUCGAAAAUCAAUUAAAAAGAGUUGGAUUUUGUGUUGUAUUGACUUUAUCAGCUUUCUUCACUCUUUUCCAGCUUUUUUUAAUGCACUUUUCGUUUAACAAGUCAACAUCAGUUUCUUUUGUUGUAAAAAGGUCAUUGGAAGGUGGCUUUCUCUUCGGAGAAAGUGUUUAUAGCCUUUGACUCAUGCAAUCGGAGAGACUGAGGUCUGCAGCGUAGAUCCUUCGGGGUUAGAUACAUUUGUGCUAAGCUAUAGCUUUUCAUAGACAACUUGUUGACUAUGUUUAGUCUUGUAGCUUACUCGCUUAUGCUAUUUUACCUACGCUUAGGAUGUUGAACUCUAUCACACACAG